UACGUAGGCAGCGAGCGUUGUUCGGAGUUACUGGGCGUAAAGGGUGUGUAGGCGGUUGUUUAAGUUUGGUGUGAAAUCUCCCGGCUCAACUGGGAGGGUGCGCCGAAUACUGAAUGACUUGGAGUGCGGGAGAGGAAAGUGGAAUUCCUGGUGUAGCGGUGAAAUGCGUAGAUAUCAGGAGAAACACCGGUGGUGUAGACGGCUUUCUGGACCGUAACUGACGCUGAGACACGAAAGCGUGGGUAGCAAACAGG
rnacentral:rRNA from 1 species